rnacentral:rRNA from 1 species
AACGAACGCUGGCGGCAUGCCUAACACAUGCAAGUCGAGCGCUCUUCUCAAUACGGGAGCGGCGCACGGGUGAGUAACGCGUGGGAACCUGCCCAGAGGUUCGGGACAACCGCGGGAAACUGCGGCUGAUACCGGAUGAUACCUGAGGGUCAAAGAUUUAUCGCCUUUGGAGGGGCCCGCGUCAGAUUAGGUAGUUGGUGAGGUAACGGCUCACCAAGCCUGUGAUCUGUAACUGGUCUGAGAGGAUGACCAGUCACACUGGGACUGAGACACGGCCCAGACUCCUACGGGAGGCAGCAGUGGGGAGUAUUGGACAAUGGGGGCAACCCUGAUCCAGCAAUGCCGCGUGGGUGAUGAAGGCCUUCGGGUUGUAAAGCCCUUUCGGCGGGGACGAUGAUGACGGUACCCGCAGAAGAAGCCCCGGCUAACUUCGUGCCAGCCGCCGCGGUAA